rnacentral:rRNA from 1 species
GACGUAGGGGGCCAGCGUUGCUCGGAAUUACUGGGCGUAAAGGGCUCGUAGGCGGCCAACUAAGUCCGACGUGAAAUCCCCAGGCUUAACCUGGGAACUGCGUCGGAUACUGGAUGGCUUGAAUUCGGGAGAGGGAUGCAGAAUUCCAGGUGUAGCGGUGAAAUGCGUAGAUAUCUGGAGGAAUACCGGUGGCGAAGGCGGCAUCCUGGACCGACAUUGACGCUGAUGAGCGAAAGCUAGGGGAGCAAACGGG